CUACGGGAGGCAGCAGUAAGGAAUAUUGGACAAUGGAGGCAACUCUGAUCCAGCCAUCCCGCGUGCAGGAUGACGGCCCUAUGGGUUGUAAACUGCUUUUGCUAGGGAAGAACCCCAUCCUUUCAAGGGUGGCUGACGGUACCUUUCGAAUAAGCACCGGCUAACUCCGUGCCAGCAGCCGCGGUAAUACGGAGGGUGCAAGCGUUAUCCGGAAUCACUGGGUUUAAAGGGUGCGUAGGCGGCGCAGUAAGUCAGAGGUGAAAGCCCGUGGCUCAACCAUGGAAAUGCCUUUGAUACUGUUGCGCUUGAAUCAGGUUGAGGGCAGCGGAAUGUGGCAUGUAGCGGUGAAAUGCAUAGAUAUGCCAUAGAACACCGAUUGCGAAGGCAGCUGCCUGGGCCUGGAUUGACGCUGAGGCACGAAAGCGUGGGGAGCGAACAGGAUUAGAAACCCCAGUAGUCC
rnacentral:rRNA from 1 species